rnacentral:rRNA from 1 species
ACCUGACUGCUAUCGGAUUGAUACUAAGCCAUGCGAGUCAUUGUAGCAAUACAAGGCAUACGGCUCAGUAACGCGUAGUCAACCUACCCUAUGGACGGGAAUAACCUCGGGAAACUGAGUAUAAUUCCCGAUAGAACAUUAUGCCUGGAAUGGUUUAUGUUCCAAAUGAUUUAUCGCCGUAGGAUGGGACUGCGGCCUAUCAGUUUGUUGGUGAGGUAAUGGCCCACCAAGACUAUUACAGGUACGGGCUCUGAGAGGAGUAGCCCGGAGAUGGGUACUGAGACACGGACCCAGGCCCUAUGGGGCGCAGCAGGCGAGAAAACUUUGCAAUGUGCGAAAGCACGACAAGGUUAAUCCGAGUGGUUUCUGCUAAAGGAACCUUUUGUCAGUCCUAAAAACACUAACGAAUAAGGGGUGGGCAAGUUCUGGUGUCAGCCGCCGCGGUAAAACCAGCACCUCAAGUGGUCAGGAUGAUUAUUGGGCCUAAAGCAUCCGUAGCCUGCUCUGUAAGUUUUCGGUUAAAUCUGUAUGCUCAACAUACAGGCCGCCGGGAAUACUGCAGAGCUAGGGAGUGGGAGAGGUAGACGGUACUCGGGAGGAAGUGGUAAAAUGCUUUGAUCUCUCGAUGACCACCUGUGGCGAAGGCGGUCUACCAGAACACGUCCGACGGUGAGGGAUGAAAGCUGGGGGAGCAAACCGGAUUAGAUACCCGGGUAGUCCCAGCUGUAAACUAUGCAAACUCAGUGAUGCAUUGGCUUGUGGCCAAUGCAGUGUUGCAGGGAAGCCGUUAAGUUUGCCGCCUGGGAAGUACGUACGCAAGUAUGAAACUUAAAGGAAUUGGCGGGGGAGCACCACAAGGGGUGAAGCCUGCGGUUCAAU